CUUAUGGAGAGUUUGAUCCUGGCUCAAGAUGAACGUUGGCGGCAUGCUUAACACAUGCAAUUUGGACAGGAAGUGGUGUUUCCAGUGGCGGAUGGGUGAGUAACACGUAAGAAACUGCCCUUGGGAGGGGAACAACAACUGGAAAUGACUGCUAAUACCCCAUAGGCUGAGGAGAAAAAGGAGGAAUCCACCCAAGGAGGGGCUCAUGUUCGAUUAGUUAGUUGGUGAGGCAAUGGCUUACCAAGGAGACGAUCAACAGCUAGUCUGAGAGGAUGAUCAACCACACUGGGAAUGAGACACGACCCAAACUCCUACGAGAGGCAGCAGUGGGGAAUUUUAUGCAAUGGGUGAAAGCCCGACGGAGCAAUGUCGCGUGAAGGUAGAAGGCCCAUGGGUCAUGAACUUAUUUUCUCGAAGAAGAAGCAAUGACGGUAUCUGAGGAAUAAGCAUCGACUAACUUUGUGCCAAUAGCUGCGAUAAGACAGAGGAUGCAAGCAUUAUCCAAAAUGAUUGGGCAUAAAGCAUCUAUAGGUGGCUUUUCAAGUCCGUCGUCAAAUCCCAGGGCUCAACCCUAGACAGGCGGUGGAAACUACAAGGCUGGAGUAUGAUAGGGGCAGAGGGAAUUUCUGGUGGAGCGGUGAAAUGCGUUGAGAUUGGAAAGAACACCAACGACGAAAGCACUAUGUUGGGCCGACACUGGCACUGAGAGACAAAAUCUAGGGGAGAAAAUGGGAGUAGAUACCCUAGUAGUCCUAUCCAUAAACAAUGGAUACUAAGUGUUGUGUGUAUCGACCCGCACAAUUUUGUAGCUAAUGCAUUAAGUAUCUCGCCCGGAGAGUACGUUCGCAAGAAUGAAACUCAAACGAAUUGACGGGGGCCCGCACAAGCGGUGGAGCAUAUGGUUAAAUUUGAUGCAAAGUGAAUAACCUUACCAGGGCUUGACAUGCCAUGAAUCCUCCCAAAAGGGAGGAGAGCCUUCGGGAACAUGGACACAGGUUGUGCAUGGAUGUCGUCAGCUCAUGCCGUAAGGUGUUGGGUUAAGUCCCGCAACGAGAACAACCCUCAUGUUUAGUUGCCAGCAUUGAGUUUGGAACCCUGAACAGAUUGUCGGUGAUAAGUCAGAGGAAGGUGAGGAUGAUGUCAAGUCAUCAUGCCACUUACGCCCUGGGUGACACGCUUGCUACAAUGACCAGGACAAAGGGUCGUGACCCUGUAAGGGAAAAUUAGCCUCAAAAACUCGGCCUUAGUUUGGAUCGCAGGAUGCAACUUGCCUGCAUGAAGACAAAAUCGCUAGUAAUCAUCGGUCAACCAUACGACGGUGAAUCCGUUCCUAGGCCUUGUACACACUGCUCGACACACUAUGGGAGCUGGCCAUGCCCCAAUUCGUUUCCUUAAUUGCAAGGAGGGGGAUGUCGAAGGCUGGGCUAGUGAAUGGAGUGAAGUCGCAACAAGGUAGUUGUAUUGGAAGGUGUGGCUUGAUCACCUCCUUU
rfam:Picea glauca, whole genome shotgun sequence.